GCCGACCAAAGAAGGGUAGGGUGCUGAUUUUGCUGUCCCCCUCCUGAGUGUAGGCGUGGGUGCAUAAGGGUGCCUAGUUAGGUGCCUAUCCUAACUCAAACACGAUUCUUUGUUAGAUAAGAGAAGGAUUAAUUCAAAGCUGAUUUGAAUUAGGACUCCUAGUCUAUUGGGUCAUGUGAUAUCAUCUAUAAAUAGGAAAGAU
rnacentral:lncRNA from 1 species